rnacentral:rRNA from 1 species
UAGGGAAUCUUCCGCAAUGGACGCAAGUCUGACGGAGCAACGCCGCGUGAGUGAAGAAGGAUUUCGGUUCGUAAAACUCUGUUGUUAGAGAAGAACAGCGCAUAGGGUAACUGUUAUGCGUGUGACGGUAUCUAACCAGAAAGCCACGGCUAACUACGUGCCAGCAGCCGCGGUAAUACGUAGGUGGCAAGCGUUGUCCGGAUUUAUUGGGCGUAAAGCGAGCGCAGGCGGUCAAUUAAGUCUGAUGUGAAAGCCCCCGGCUCAACCGGGGAGGGUCAUUGGAAACUGGUUGACUUGAGUGCAGAAGAGGAGAGUGGAAUUCCAUGUGUAGCGGUGAAAUGCGUAGAUAUAUGGAGGAACACCAGUGGCGAAGGCGACUCUCUGGUCUGUAACUGACGCUGAGGUUCGAAAGCGUGGGUAGCAAACAGG